rnacentral:lncRNA from 1 species
AUAUACAAUUCUUGGUCCUGAAGUACCACAUCCUAAGUGCAAUUUGUGUACAUAUGUAUCUUGCUAUAACUAUGAUAAUGUGAUGGCGAGGAUAUCCCUGUGGAAGUAUUGAAGAGUCAUUCCACGACAUUACAUGAAGAUGUUCAUAUCUAUCAAGUAUGAUAAUUUCAAGGUACGGAAUAUUCAUUCAAGUCAAUAUGGUUGAUUUAUUUAUCAAAUAU